rnacentral:lncRNA from 1 species
CUCAUGAUUAUGAAAUAUGGUAGAUGGAUGUCAAUACUACUUUCUUUAAUGGGAAGUUGGCUGAAGAUGUUUACAUGUGUCAGCCAGAGGGUUUUGUAGACGCAAGGUACCCUAACAGAGUGUGCAAGCUUGAGAAAUCAAUCUAUGGAUUAAAGCAAGCAUCUCGCAGAUGGAAUCUUUGUUUCGAUGAGAAAGUCAAAGUGUUUUGGAUUUUCGAUAAGCGAGGAUGUGUCCUGUGUGUAUGUUAAGGCUAUUAGGAGUAUAGUUUGCUUUCUAGUUUUGUAUGUUGAUGACAUACUGCUCAUAGGAAAUGACAUCCCUAUUGGGUUUUGAGCAUUCUAACACUCCUAAGUGUACAUGCAACCCUAAAUACCUUGGAUUUAUGUUUUCUCUAUUAUACAUGCAAAUAUGAACUUCCAAGGUAUUAUCCUAAUCUAGCAUACAAAACAAUGAAUAUAACAAGAUAGAAUACAUACCUCUUUGAUGUAGAAAGUCUUCAUGAAGCUUGAGUGCCUAGUGCCCCAAGUGUGACACCUCAAAUGGUUCACACAACACCAAAUACACUUGGAAUAACUUGAGAGAAACUUGAACACUCCUUGAAAUCGUCUAGCCCUCACACUCCCACAUAGUGCACGAUUUCUUGAGCCAUGGGAUUCUUUUAUAUGGUGGCUAUUAGGGUUACACCAUGUAACUCAUGACUUUACCCAUUCCUUAUGCUCCAUGGAUUUUAACCUCCAUGGAGCAUCCAUGGGUCACCCCAUGGACUUAGUCCAACAUAAGGAAUCUUGGAUCACAAGCCCACAUAUAUAAGAAUGAAUGAUUUACACAAUCAACCCAUAUAUUUAAUUAGUCUCCUUUUGAUCACUUAAUUAAUUCCAAAUUAAUUCUUGAUCAAUACUAAUUAAAUAACCUUAUUAAUAUAUUAGAACUUAUAAUAUAUUAACAAACCUUAAGUGUUAUUUCUCUCAUUUUAGUCUAUCCAAAUGCAUGAUGCCAUGCAACCCAAAUGGACCAUGCCGGGUCGGGUCAAGUCUUACCAAUUAUAGUUAUGGACUUAGACAUUAAUCCAACAGUCUCCCACUUGGAUAAGUCUAAAACUAUUAUUGCGUAUGACUUCAAGAACCAACUGGCAAUCGUAGCUCUCAAAAGCUUCUGUCGAACUCUGACCUUGUAGAUGAACUCUGACCUUUGUCAAUGACUUGUCCAUUAGAUAAGGGAUCAUAUAUUCCUCCAUUCUAGAUAUCAUAUGGACUGAGACAUGGAUUAUAAUCAUUCUCUCUGUCCAUUUGUUGUUUCCCGAUUUCCGAUUUAUGACGACUGACUAAUUGAACAAAUCAAAUCAGUCCUGGCCCGGCCGAGCACUUCCAUUUGUCAUCAUCAAAUCAUCGAGGGGCCCACAGAUAUCGCUUUUAUCCCGAAGGUAAAAGGAAUGGAUAAACUUCGACUCAUAUGGCUUGUUCUACUACUUGUUGAAUCAUACACAAAGGCACGUUUUAUAGCACCGAGUUACCAAAUGCGUUUUCGUGCAAUCAAUGUACAACCAACUCAUAGUAACAACUCAUAUCUCUAGGUUUGAAGAAUAUAAGAUAUUAUCGUCUCAUGAUCACUCGUGAUAAAAUCCAUGAAGUGAUUCCAAUGAGCGCGGGUUGAAUCCAAUACUCAGAACUUAUGAGCACUCAUGAGUGUUGUAGCCCUUUGUCCAACACCUUAGACCUCUACAAGCCAACCCAUGACAGUCUUAAUUCAUAUCUACUUCCAACAUAUGACCGACUGUGGAUGGUUUGAAUAACUUAGUCAUUCCGGAAGAAUAACCUAGUUUAUUCGGGAAGUCAAAACAUGCAAAGUGAAACACAAUAAUAAUUGAAUCCAAUAUGGUAUCAAAACUUUGAACAUAAAUAAAACACCUUUUAUUUAUCACCAUAUGAUUACACAUUAUUCAUUGUAUACUGUUUCAGCUAUCAACUUUAUUCUUGAAUUUAAAACAAUAGUUGUCCCAUGCUCCAAGCAUGUACACUAUGUUUUCUUAAACACUAGUCAUGCCACACACCAAGUAUGCAUACUAUGUUUGUCUAUGAUCUUUACUUUGUGAACUAGAUCAAUUGAACAUAACUUCAAUGAUUCUCUUUUCACACUCCCAAAUCCUUACUGCAAAUGCAAGAAUUCCAAAUUCAUGCCAUUUACUGAAAUCUGUUAGAUUCUAAACUUAUAUGCAUUGAUCCUCUUGUAAUGAUUAUGCACAAAGUCAGAAAGACUUGACAACAAUCAUUACAGAGUAUUCCAAAGGAGAUCAGCUCCUUGGAAACAUCCUUCUUGCAUUAAGUUUCCUAAUCUUAAACAGAUUGAAAAUUCUAACUUUGAAACAUUUCCAGAUUCCAUUUUGACUAUCACUUCUGAACAAGAGUUGCCUCCUUACAGAUUAUGUCAAUAUGGUCCUUCCAGAAUUAUCACUAUACUUCCAACUGUCCUUGAGCAACCAAUCUUUGGUAAACCUUAGAUUGUCCUCGACAAUUGUUUAAUCCUUUUAGUCAUAUCCAGUUCUAAACCUUUUCCCUUCUUAAUGCCCCAGGCAUUUGGAAAAUUUUAGAACGGAUGAAUAUAGCACAUGUAAUCGAUCCUAUAUCCGAAGCAUAUGGGACACGAUUCAUGAUGUCUUACAUAAAGACUAAACCAGUCUUUUGCUAUAAUAUUUCCAUUUCAAUUUGCCAAGUUCUCAUAAUUCAGAUUAUGAAAAGGGAUGCCGUAAUCAUAAUCGAAUUUUAGAACGCAAAUAAUGGACCCAUAUACAGAAUUUCCUUAUGUUGAGCCAUUCCAACAUGAAAUUCAUAUAUAUCCUUGACUAAAUGAUUAAAACCUCACGAUCUAAGCUUAUAGAUUUGAGAUGAAGCAUAAUUUCCUCUCCCUUAAUUAUAGCAAAACAACUUUUUCCCAAUUGAAACUUUUGUUUUCUAUAAUUAACAUUGCUAACUUGCAAUACUUAUCAUAAUUAUCAUGCUCCCACUAACAUGAUGAUUAUUAGCAUAACACUUAUGCUCCCACUAGCUUUGACAUGUACUCAGAAAUCAGCUGGACUUCUAGAAAUCAAUACUUCAUUGACUUUCUUACCAAAGUUCAGAUUUCUGAUGCUAGAUUGUUUUGAUAAAGCUGUAUCAAAAUCAUACACCUUCCCUUAGAUAGCUCAUAGGUGUUUCUAAACAAUUAUGAAGAGGGAUGCCGUAAUCAUAAUGGUUAGACCUUUUUGCCACUUCUCACAAGUCCAGGUUAGUGUGUCGGUUCACCACACACGCUCCACUAACGACUUUGAGAAUGCAAACAUCGCAAUUGCUAUCUAGCUAAAAUCUAGUUAGUGAAAGUGUUUCCUCACCAUCAUUUUCAUGAAUCGGAGAGAAACCUUAUGACACUUAGAUUUAUAUGGUGUAUGAGUUCCUACCCAUAUGAAUUUGUCAAACCAUAAUCACAAGACAAAGAUAAUGACAAAUCCAAAACCAUAUGGAUUGAACUCAAUCUUAACUUCUUGCCACCUGGCAGCUCAAGGGCCUGCCAUUGCUUCCAAGUUGUUAUGCAACAAACUGAGAACUCUAAGAACUCAUAUGCAAAGCCAACUUUAACUGGAAUGGGCACAGAUAUGUCAACACGAUAGGUUAUAAACCUCAAGUCGUGUGCUAGUGAAGAACUUCAGGUUUUAUUCUUGAUUAUUUCUUGAGACUUUCAAGACCUUUAAGACUCCCACUGUCCUCUUGACAUAUAAGACUCCCUUGUCAAACAUCCAAGAGAUAGUGCGGAUUCUAAUCAAGAAAAACACUUUACCCAAUUGGCCUAAGUUGGUCUUUGUUUUAUCCAAAACAUCACAACUUACCAAUUUCAAAUGUACAAGAGUAGAAAACUUUUACUCUUACAUUUGACAAGUGUUUUAAACCUUCUUUAAGACAUGUCACUCAAAUGACAAUCUUGGAGUAUGACUCUAAGACUUGUAUUGGAACGAAGUAUGACUCAUCUUCUUGAUUUAACCAUUUCAACAAUUCAAGUUCCUCUUCUUAGUCAUAAGAAUGCACUAAGAUUUCCUUAGAGAACUAAUUUUGAUAUGGUUUCUUAAUCAUUAAGAUGAUCACAAAACUGAUACUAAAGUACUCUCCCAUCUUUUCAGAUAUGAGAAACUUUUAUCCUUCUGCCUAAUUUGAUUCUUCUUAUUCGCCCUGCCAUACAUUGGAACCUUUUCCAAUGUCUCAGAGUUACACUUAAGCUUGUAAGUAUAAUCAUAUUUACUGAGCUUUAGUAAACUAUGACGAAUAGUCUUAUCAAUCUUUUGUGGUGGACUUAAUCAGUGCACAAGAAUGUGUACUCGAUCCCUUAGUCCUUUACUUGACUCACACAUCCAUGUGAACAAGUAAUUAGUCUUAAUUUUCCAAAACUUGAAAGUUCUCAUUCAUCAUGCUAUACAACUUGCAUGAUUCCAAGUUCCGGUCCAAUUGAAACUUGGGUGAUGAGAAUCUUUCCUUAUUUGGUAAAUUUAGACAUUACCACAAAUGAAAGAAUCAAUUUCAUAUUUCCACUCUUGCUCUUAAUGGAAUCAUAUAAGCAACAAUUUUUCCUCAAAUGCCAUUGUAAGGAUAUUUUAAAAUAAAUAAAAUAAAAAAUUUUCUUUUAUUUUAAAACUUUGCGGAAAAACUUAUCCUUACAAUCCAUAUGAAAACUUGUUGUUAUCUAUUCCUAAGCAAUAUCUCAUAACUCCUAAGAAGUAGCUCAAGAAUCCGAUCUUCAAACUAUGCGAUAGAAAUCCAUCUACGCCAUCAGAUUCAGCAUAUUCUUUCUUUAAGUUUCUUCACUUUUCUUUGAUUCUUAAAACAUCACCAUGUGACCCAGUCACAUCAUGUAUCAAGAAUCUCAGAAUAGAAACUUAACAGAGUUAGAUAGUGGACUUUACCUGAAGUAGAGUCAAACUUAUUGACUUUAACAUCCUUAGGUAAAUUUGGCAGCUUCGCAACCAAUGCCCCUUCCUUUGGCAAUAUAAACAUAUGGACCCUUUGAUAAUGGUACACGGGACUAUCACAGACUUAGCUUUUCUCUUUACCAUUUGGUCAACCGAGUUGACUAUGGCCGAUCCCUUUCCAUUGGGAAGAGAAUGCUUUUCUGGAUUUCCUGUGUCACUAUUGUCAAUGUCCAUCAAGUUUUAAGGAAGUUGAUCUUAACAAAUAGAUAAGAUCAUUAAGGGUCUUGUCAUAGUCUGUUUCAUAGGUGUCCCAAAGGAACUCACUAUGUGACUUAGAAAGUGAUUGAACCACCAACUUUCUCAAGACUUUGACACCCAACUCUCCCGGCUUGUCAAUAUGUGACUACAUCUCCAAGAUGUGAUCACACCUAGACCUUGCCUUGCCAAUAGGGCUUGAGUGACCUUAAACUUUUCAAGAACUUGUGGGUUAGGGAGAAUAAUUGGAGGAGGUGAAAGAAGUAUGAUUUCCAUGGGACAUCAUCUUCAUUUAGGAAAGCUUGUUUCAAGAGAUUUGGGAAGAUCAUAAAUGUCUAAACCAGACAUCUUUUGGGAGAUAUUCAAGAUAGUUGAUUUAAAGUCCUUAAUAUGACACCCAAUAUGAAAUAUUAAGGCUAGGACCCAACAAACUAUUUUAUAACUUAGAAGAGGUAUGCCGUAAUCCAAGCUAUAAAAUAUUUGAAGGUAGGUGAAUGACGAUUCACCAAUUUCCACCAAGAUAAACGAAAUGUAUUAUUAGGUUUUAAUUGGUUUUGAAACUCCUAGAUCUUUGAGAUUCAUUGAACUGUUCAAUGGCAUGUUUCAAUCUCGAGUGUGCCCUUCAGGUUUUGUGACUGGGAUGCCGAGGAUCACAAAACAAGGUGUGAAGUAACCAUGCAAAUUACUUGGUACCCUUAAGUGUUUACCCCUCAAUCGAUGUGCCGGUUAACCACACACGCUCCAUCGAUACUAUGAUAAACAUUAAGUUACCCUUUGCCUACCUUGUUAAAUACGAGUUAGUGUGCCGGUUAACCACACACGCUCCACUAACCGACUUAAACAAAGUGCAAAGUGUAAUUUCAUGGAUUAGCACCUUAUUCACAUUUUCCUAAGUAACUAAGAUUGGGUAUUUAUAAGAGUUUAGUUACUUAGUAUUUAUCAUUAAUACUUUUAAUGAAGGGAGAAUUCUAGUCCUUGUCCUACCCGUUCGGCUAACGACCCUCCACCGGUCAAGGAAGCGGUGGGUGAGAGUGGACACCCAUUAAACUGCCAUUUUAUAGGCAGUAACCUUAUACCCCCCUUAUAGACCGGCUUCGUGAAUGAGGCCUACUAACGGUAAGACUGACUUUACUCUUAUACAUAUAUAUAUAUAUUAUUAACUUAUAAUAUUAUAAAGUAUAAGGGUUGAAUUUUAACUUUUAAAAUUCUAAGGGCUAACUUGGAAUUAAAGUAUUCAUGGGGAAAACUUUACAAAUUCCAAAACUUGAGGGCAAGUUUUGAAACUAUUCAAAACUCUUGGAUUUUCAUAACUUAUGAGUUUAAUUAAAGUUUUAAAAACUUUAAUGAAGUGACUCUUGAACAUCCAUAACUUGAGGACAAGUUAUGGAGUCAUAAAACAAUUUAAUGAGGAAAAAGACUCUUCAUUUUGUAACCUAUGGCAACUUUUAUGAGUUUUAAGAUUCAUAAAUGUGACUUAUAAGUUACAUAAACACAUUUUAUGAACUUCUUUUAGAUUAAUUUGGAUUAAAACCAACUAUCACAUAAUUUUAUUCAUUAAUCUAAAUUCACUCAUAAAACAAGGUAACACAAAAAACUUUUGGUGAUCCAUAACUUAUUCUUAAGUUAUGGAAUCCUUUAAAACAUUAACACCAAAUUUUGUAACUCCAUAAAAACUUUGAAUCAAUUUUUUUUAAAACCUUUUCAUAUCCAUAACUUAUGGAGGUUUCAAAAAAUAAAACUCUUUAGAUCAAACUUUUAAAACUAAUAAAAUAAUCAUAUCAUUUUAUCUUUUAUUAAAUUUGACCUAAUUCAACUCAUAAAGCAAAUUAUUCAAAUUUUACAAAUAAUUAGUUUUUCACAAGAACAAGUAAUUAUCUUAAAAUUUGACAAAAUUCAUGUUUUUUUUUCCUUUUUUUUCAACUUUGAAAAUAAAAUAUUUGCAUCAAUAUAACAGAAAACAACCCAUGUCUCUGAUACCACUGUUGGGUUUUGAGCAUUCUAACACUCCUAAGUGUACAUGCAACCCUGAAUACCUUGAAUCUAUGUUUUCUCUAUUAUACAUGCAAAUAUGAACUUCCAAGGUAUUAUCCUAAUCUAGCAUACAAAACAAUGAAUAUAACAAGAUAGAAUACAUACCUCUUUGAUGUAGAAUCUCUUCAUGAAGCUUGAGUGCCUAGUGCCCCAAGUGUGACACCUCAAAUGGUUCACACAACACCAAAU